GCCCUUUGAAAAAUACAAAAUUUUAAUUUUCAUUGUGAUGAUACGCAUAUGUCAAAUUGAAUUAGGUUAGGUACGUGUCAUUAAAGAUGACAGAAAAUAUUGAAUAAGGUCGAAAACAAGAUCGGUGAACGUUAUAAUUGAAAUUAAAAAGUGAUCGAACAUAGACUUACAAAGGAGUGUCAGGCACUGGUUGGUGUCUCUUCUGCUUAUGUUUAUAAAGCAAAGAUAGUUCCUUAACAUCUCUGUCACAAAUCUCACAUAAAAAUACUACUAGCACUUUGAAUAUUCUUGGGUGCUCUUUCCAGUGAAGAACAGCCUCUGCGAAAGAUUUGAAUGUAGAGUUACAAUGGUUGCAAGAGUAUGGUUUCUCAAUAACGUGAGAUUCUCUGUGAGUUUUUAAGUGAUCCAUAUCUGCAAAGUGGCUGCUACAGAAUUCACAAUGUGUUCAUCUGUGGAAUCGCAACUUCCAAAGACUUCACCGCAACGAAUACACCUAUAAAACAUAACUUGUUGAUUACUGAAGAAUGAUACAAAAACAAAUAUACUACCUCCAAAUAGUUUGACUGUUUUCCAAAAUGAUGCUGUG